AGUGAACGCUGGCGGCAGGCCUAACACAUGCAAGUCGAGCGGCAGCGCGGGGGCAACCCUGGCGGCGAGCGGCGGACGGGUGAGGAAUUCGUCGGAAUCUGCCUUUUUGUGGGGGAUAACGUAGGGAAACUUACGCUAAUACCGCAUACGUCCUACGGGAGAAAGUGGGGGACCGCAAGGCCUCACGCAGAAAGAUGAGCCGACGACCGAUUAGCUAGUUGGUGGGGUAAAGGCCCACCAAGGCGACGAUCGGUAGCUGGUCUGAGAGGAAGAUCAGCCACACUGGGACGAGAACCCGGCCCAGACCCCUAGGGGAGGCAGCAGUGGGGAAUUUUGGAAAAGGGGGGAAAGCCUGAUCCAGCCAUGCCGGGGGUGUGAAGAAGGCCUUCGGGUUGUAAAGCACUUUUGUCCGGAAAGAAACCCCGGGGGCUAAUACCUUGGGGGGAUGGGGGUACCGGAAAAAUAAGCACCGGCUAACUUCGU
rnacentral:rRNA from 1 species